UACAGAGGUCUCAAGCGUUGUUCGGAUUCAUUGGGCGUAAAGGGUGCGUAGGCGGCGCCGUAAGUCAGGUGUGAAAUUUCGGAGCUUAACUCCGAAACUGCAUUUGAUACUGCGGUGCUUGAGGACUGGAGAGGAGACUGGAAUUUACGGUGUAGCAGUGAAAUGCGUAGAGAUCGUAAGGAAGACCAGUGGCGAAGGCGGGUCUCUGGACAGUUCCUGACGCUGAGGCACGAAGGCCAGGGGAGCAAACGGG
rnacentral:rRNA from 1 species